rnacentral:rRNA from 1 species
CUACGGGACGCUCCAGUGAGGAAUAUUGCACAAUGGGGGAAACCCUGAUGCAGCAACGCCGCGUGGAGGAUGACGCAUUUCGGUGUGUAAACUCCUUUUAUCAGAGAAGAAAAUGACGGUAUCUGAUGAAUAAGCUCCGGCUAACUCCGUGCCAGCAGCCGCGGUAAUACGGAGGGAGCAAGCGUUAUUCGGAAUCACUGGGCGUAAAGGACGCGUAGGCGGGUUUUUAAGUCAGGUGUGAAAUCCUAUGGCUCAACCAUAGAACUGCACUUGAAACUGGGGACCUAGAGUAUGGAAGGGGUAGGCGGAAUUAGUGGUGUAGGGGUAAAAUCCGUAGAUAUCACUAGGAAUACCGAAAGCGAAGGCGACCUGCUGGGACAUUACUGACGCUGAGGCGUGAAAGCGUGGGGAGCAAACAGGAUUAGAUACCCUCGUAGUC